UGGGGAAUAUUGCACAAUGGGCGCAAGCCUGAUGCAGCCAUGCCGCGUGUAUGAAGAAGGCCUUCGGGUUGUAAAGUACUUUCAGUCGGGAGGAAGGUGGUAAGGUUAAUAACCUUAUCAAUUGACGUUACCGACAGAAGAAGCACCGGCUAACUCCGUGCCAGCAGCCGCGGUAAUACGGAGGGUGCAAGCGUUAAUCGGAAUUACUGGGCGUAAAGCGCACGCAGGCGGUUUGUUAAGUCAGAUGUGAAAUCCUCGGGCUCAACCUGGGAACUGCAUCUGAUACUGGCAAGCUUGAGUCUCGUAGAGGGGGGUAGAAUUCCAGGUGUAGCGGUGAAAUGCGUAGAGAUCUGGAGGAAUACCGGUGGCGAAGGCGGCCCCCUGGACGAAGACUGACGCUCAGGUGCGAAAGCGUGGGGAGCAAACAGG
rnacentral:rRNA from 1 species